UACGUAGGAGGCGAGCGUUGUCCGGAGUUACUGGGCGUAAAGGGUGCGCAGGCGGCGUCACGCGUGGCUAGAUGAAAUCUCCUGGCUUACCUGGGAGGGUGGUAGCCAGACGGUGGCGCUUGAGGGUCGGAGAGGGGCGUGGAAUUCCGGGUGGAGCGGUGAAAUGCGCAGAUAUCAGGAGGAACACCAAUUGCGAAGGCAGCUCGCUGGGACGUUACUGACGCUGAGGAGCGAAAGCGUGGGGAGCGAACAGG
rnacentral:rRNA from 1 species